GAUGAAGAACGUAGCGAAAUGCGAUAAGUAAUGCGAAUUGCAGAAUUCCAGUGAGUCAUCGAAUCUUUGAACGCACAUUGCGCCCUUUGGUAUUCCGAAGGGCAUGCCUGUUCGAGCGUCAUUAUCACCCCUCAAGCCCUCGGCUUGGUGUUGGACGGUUUGGUGGAGGCCCCCUCGGGGGUUCCUGCCCCUCCCAAAGACAAUGACGGCGGCCUCGUUGGACCCCCGGUACACUGAGUUCUUCACGGGACACGUAUCGGACACAUGGGUUUACGGGACACGGUCUGCCUCCCCUCAGGGAGAAUCUUUCUAAGGUUGACCUCGGAUCAGGUAGGGAUACCCGCUGAAUUUAAGCAUAUCAAUAAGCGGAGGA
rnacentral:misc_RNA from 1 species